rnacentral:lncRNA from 1 species
GUGGUCAUAAUGAACUGCCCUUGUGUAGAAAAUGUUAUAAUCGUUGUUACUUUUUCCCUUUUGUGUUUUAUGUGGAAAUAGUAAUACCAUAUGCAACAGCAUGAGGGUGAUUAAAUUAUGGCAGAAUGUACAUUUUAAAGCGAUCUAAUAGAUUUUUCAGAGCAAAAUGCAAGUGGGUACAAUCCUCCAGAACUUGUUGCAGAGAAACCCAUCCAGGAAGGCAUAGGAUCUGCAGAAAAAGAUGAAUGUCCACAAAAUCAAGUGUUUUAUGUUUCGUCAAAUGUUGUAACCAUAUUACCAUCAUUAUAUAUUCCGCGCCUACCAUAUGUGGAUGAGUCGCAAAUCCAUUACAAAGAAGAGAACCUGCUGGGGGAAGGUGCAUUUGGAAGAGUGUAUAGAGGCUACUUUCAGGGCACCCCUGCUGCCAUUAAAAAGAUUCUCUAUGGCACCGCAGGACUUCCAGACCAAGAUAUCCAGCACGAGAUUCUGGUCUCACUCCGACUGAGCCAUCCCAAUAUUGUUCGACUCAUGGCUGCAGCCCGCACUGACAAGGCCUUCCUGCUGGCCAAUGAGUAUAUACACGGCACGACCCUGGAGGAUGCACUACACACUGACCAUUCUUCUGUUAAGGUAAAAAAAAAAAAUCAUACUUUUCAUGUAACAUUUGUGAAAA